rnacentral:rRNA from 1 species
GACGAACGCUGGCGGCGUGCUUAACACAUGCAAGUCGAACGCUGAAGCUUGGUGCUUGCACUGGGUGGAUGAGUGGCGAAAGGGUGAGUAAUACGUGAGUAACCUGCCCUUGACUCUGUGAUAAGCCUGGGAAACUGGGCCUAAUACGGGAUAUGACAUGCCACUGCAUGGUGGUGUGUGGAAAGGGUUUUACUGGUAUUGGAUGGGCUCACGGCCUAUCAGCUUGUUGGUGGGGUAAUGGCCUACCAAGGCGACGACGGGUAGCCGGCCUGAGAGGGGGACCGGCCACACUGGGACUGAGACACGGCCCAGACUCCUACGGUAGGCAGCAGGGGGGAAUAUUGCACAAUGGGCGGAAGCCUGAUGCAGCGACGCCGCGUGAGGGAUGAGGGCCUUCGGGUUGUAAACCUCUUUCAGCACGGAAGAAGCGCGAGUGACGGUACGUGCAGAAGAAGCGCCGGCUAACUACGUG